rnacentral:rRNA from 1 species
UACGGAGGGUGCAAGCGUUAUCCGGAUUCACUGGGUUUAAAGGGUGCGUAGGUGGGCAGGUAAGUCGGUGGUGAAAUCUCCGGGCUUAACCCGGAAACUGCCAUUGAUACUAUUUGUCUUGAAUACUGUGGAGGUCAGCGGAAUAUGUCAUGUAGCGGUGAAAUGCUUAGAUAUGACAUAGAACACCAAUUGCGAAGGCAGCUGGCUACACAAAUAUUGACACUGAGGCACGAAAGCGUGGGGAUCAAACAGG